rnacentral:rRNA from 1 species
UACGUAGGGGGCUAGCGUUGUCCGGAAUUAUUGGGCGUAAAGAGCUCGUAGGCGGUCUGUCGCGUCGAUCGUGAAAACUUGGGGCUUAACCCUGAGCUUGCGGUCGAUACGGGCAUGACUGGAGUUCGGCAGGGGAGACUGGAAUUCCUGGUGUAGCGGUGAAAUGCGCAGAUAUCAGGAGGAACACCGGUGGCGAAGGCGGGUCUCUGGGCCGAUACUGACGCUGAGGAGCGAAAGCGUGGGGAGCAAACAGG